rnacentral:tRNA from 1 species
UGGGGUGUGGCUUAGUGGUAGAGCGCUUGCCUAGCAUGUAUGAGGCACUGGGUUCGAUUCUCAGCACCACGU